rnacentral:rRNA from 1 species
UACGGGGGGGGCAAGCGUUGUUCGGAAUUACUGGGCGUAAAGGGCUCGUAGGCGGCCAACUAAGUCAGACGUGAAAUCCCUCGGCUUAACCGGGGAACUGCGUCUGAUACUGGAUGGCUCGAGAUUGGGAGAGGGAUGCGGAAUUCCAGGUGUAGCGGUGAAAUGCGUAGAUAUCGAGAGGAACACCUGCGGCGAAGGCGGGUUGCUGGGCUGACACUGACGCUGAAGCGCGAAAGCUAGGGGAGCGAACGGG